rnacentral:lncRNA from 1 species
AUGAAGGGGACAAGGAGAAAACAGCCUUUGGGCUCGGAUGAGGAAGAUAAUUUAUCAAUUGAUUAUCAGCUACCAGAUUCUGACCAAGAGCUGGAUGAAGAUGACAAAGCAAUCUUAAAGAAGACAAGACAGCAGUUGCAUGGAGCAAAUGAUACUGAUUCUGACAGUGAGGAAGAAGUUCUGCCUUUACAGUCAUCUUCAGAAGACAGUGAUGAUUCUGAUGAUGAAGAAAAUUCUGAAGAUGAGGACAAAGAUGUCCUGGGGGAUGAUGAAGGGACUUGCCUGACCCAAAAGCAUGGGGACGGAAACGGAAAAAUUACUAUGACACCGAUUACAUAGAUCAAGAUUUUGGCGGGUUCCAGAAUGAGAAGAUGAGGAGGCAGCAUUGAUGGAGGAAGAAGAGGCUCGAGCGAUUCAGCGAAGGCUUGCUGAGCAAUUAGAUGACCUUGACCCCGUCCUCACUUUUGCCACCUUGGUAAGUGUUUUAAAUUUACGGAAACCUUUACCGAAUGCAAGUAAGUGUGCAGGAGGACCGUGUACGGCUUUAUCUAAAUCUCAUUUUUUGUUUUUAUGAGUUCUUUAUUGUUUCCACUGCAUACACAUGCACAUGAACUCAGAACAAUGGUACAGAAAGACCAAAAAGGUACAGGACUAGUACAAAGCAAAGUCUAAUGUUCAGUUUUUAAAUAAAGCAUCAAAAGCCUUUUUGAGAAAUAAAAAUUUACAUUAUAGAUCCAACUGAUUGAGAAGAGUAAGUCAUGGUUACUGACUUUAUGGUACUACAUGAGCACCCUAUGAAGCAGUCAUCUGUCUUUUCCCUAAAAUUUAGGAGCCCCUUUGGCCAGAAAGCCCUGGUUUACGGAGCCAAAUUAACUUUUCGCAUAAUGCAUCAUGGUACAUGAAAUUACAAGUUUAAAAAAAUUGACGGGGUAAAUAAACUUUGAGGCGCCAAAUGGCCCAGCUCUCCCGAUUUUUCAGGGCCCCUAAGGAUUCUCUUUGCUAUCCCUAUACUGGGGGGGGGGGGUUAGAUGAAAAGUCUGCCAUUUUUUGUAAUUUGCCCUUCUCCAUGAGGUCUGUAACUAACUCAACUAAUCUGAACUUUAGGUCAAGAUGCAGUGCAAAUCACUUAUGUUUAAUUCAUGGUUAAAUUGAUUUUUUCACAGGGUGAUUUAACAAAAGUAGUUGAUGAUGCUGAUGACAAGAAAGAAUUAUUGAAACUGACUUUAGUCAAAUGAACAAGAGAGAUCGAAUAACUUAUUACAAAAAGAAUCUCCUGAGUUUCUAGGUUUCAUCACUGAUUUUAAAA